rnacentral:rRNA from 1 species
AGAGUUUGAUCAUGGCUCAGAGCGAACGCUGGCGGCGUGCCUAAUACAUGCAAGUCGAGCGGCAGCGGAAAGUAGCUUGCUACUUUGCCGGCGAGCGGUGGACGGGUGAGUAAUGUCUGGGAAGCUGCCUGAUGGAGGGGGAUAACUACUGGAAACGGUAGCUAAUACCGCAUAAUGUCGCAAGACCAAAGAGGGGGACCUUCGGGCCUCUUGCCAUCAGAUGUGCCCAGAUGGGAUUAGCUAGUAGGUGAGGUAACGGCUCACCUAGGCGACGAUCCCUAGCUGGUCUGAGAGGAUGACCAGCCACACUGGAACUGAGACACGGUCCAGACUCCUACGGGAGGCAGCAGUGGGGAAUAUUGCACAAUGGGCGCAAGCCUGAUGCAGCCAUGCCGCGUGUAUGAAGAAGGCCUUCGGGUUGUAAAGUACUUUCAGCGGGGAGGAAGGCGAUAAGGUUAAUAACCUUGUCGAUUGACGUUACCCGCAGAAGAAGCACCGGCUAACUCCGUGCCAGCAGCCGCGGUAAUUC